CCCCCCCUCCCACCCCCCAGCGCCCCUGCUCGGUGGCGCUGAGAAGGCGGCCCCCGGAUUUCCUGCUACUAGCGUUUGAGUUCCAGCCCGCUCUCAGAAGCUGCGGCAACUCAGACCUAAGGAGGCCAAGGAAGCCCUCAGAGAAUGGCUCUUGAAGGAACUGAAUCAUAUUGCCCAUGCACCAUGAAGACAAUUGGCACCACCUUGUGAGGUUUCUAAACCCUGAUCUCCACCCAGAACCUCUCUCCUGAUGCUACCAGAUCCACCAACUAUGAAGUCCUCAAGAUAUCAGAAAUUCUACAGGUUCCAGUCUCAACUCGGUGUCUCAUUCUUUCCAUUUAACAUGCUUUCCAGAACAGAUGACCAGCAUAAUAACCUUGAAGCAUCUUCUUCAACUCCCUUUUACCAAUCCCACAUACCUGGUUGAAU